UACGUAGGGUGCAAGCGUUAAUCGGAAUUACUGGGCGUAAAGCGUGCGCAGGCGGUGAUGUAAGUCAGGUGUGAAAGCCCCGGGCUCAACCCGGGAAGUGCAUCUGAUACUGCGUAGCUUGAGUACCGAAGAGGAUAGUGGAAUUCCAGGUGUAGUGGUGAAAUACGUAGAUAUCUGGAGGAACACCGGUGGCGAAGGCGGCUAUCUGGUCGAGUACUGACACUGAGACACGAAAGCAUGGGGAUCAAACAGG
rnacentral:rRNA from 1 species